UGAGUCGGCGAUUCUGCCAGAAUAAGGUGU
rnacentral:piRNA from 1 species